UCGUCACACUAUCAUUAACUGAAUCCAUAGGUUAAUGAGGCGAACCGGGGGAACUGAAACAUCUAAGUACCCCGAGGAAAAGAAAUCAACCGAGAUUCCCCCAGUAGCGGCGAGCGAACGGGGAGGAGCCCAGAGCCUGAAUCAGCAUGUGUGUUAGUGGAAGCGUCUGGAAAGGCGCGCGAUACAGGGUGACAGCCCCGUACACAAAAGCGCAU
rnacentral:rRNA from 1 species